UGAGAUUCUAAGUGAUUAAAAAAAAUAGCUUUGGAAUUUGUACUAAGCCAACUGUGCACAUGGUACAGAAUGUUCUCAGAAGCAAUAGGACUCAUGAAUAAUAAGGCAGGCCAUUUCCUGGACUUUACAGUCUCCUUCGCCUGGCAUUCUCUCUUGCCCACAAACCUUUUGCCUGCUGACCUGAAUCUGGAUUCUCUCCUCUCCCAGGCAGCUAAUGCUGGAUUGCUCCAGAUGGCCAAGCUGAAUCAACACUACCCAGCAGGAAGGUUGGGUUCGUUUCACAGCAGCGUACAACCAUGGUUUUCUGGACUUAGCCCAAGAGCCGGAGAAGAAACUCAAGAAGACGCCAACCAUGUAGAUGAGGUACAGUGAGAAGAGGACUCUGACCUGUACUCAGCUUGGCUUUGAGACAGAACAGUCCUCUGAGAUGUAGGUGAGCCCUGGACCCUCGCAAGGGGGGCGGGGUGCUGCAAAGUUCAGGUGAGGUCAGGGUUCCUUGGCACUUCUUCUGUGCAGGGAAAAACUAGCUCCUCCACAGUGUCCCACAGAGAAGCUGGCCCCAUAACUGACGCAGAUCUCUUGGGACUGAUGAAUUCUAGACUUACUCUACCUUUGACAAAAGAGGCUAGGAGGGAGGCCUAACUAUGUCCAGAACAUAGAGUUCCCUUGUCAGCUGACAACUGAUCACUGGGCGGAAACUGGUCUCACCAGCUAGAGGCAGCAAGGCAGAUGCAAUAGUGAUAGACAUUCUAAUUGCCUAAUAAAACAAAUAGACUCUUGCAUUUUGCACCUGCUAGAUGACCCAGCAUUCUUUCCAUUUACCGUCACAGGGAGGCCCUGUGAUGGCUUUUGACACAAUAGCCUGAACUACAUCUGCCACAAGGUUGUUCAGAAUGCUUGAAUCUGCCACAAACAUAUUAGCUAUCUUCUGCUUCUCACGAAACCUUAACUUGACCCCACCCUCACAUCUCCUCUGCUACCGUCCAAGUCCAAGCUGUCAUUAUCUCUCACCUAGGCCAUGGCA
rnacentral:lncRNA from 1 species